GUAAAAAAGUAAGCAAGGGCACACGGAGGAUGCCUUGGCUCUCAGAGGCGAUGAAAGACGUGAUAAGCUGCGAUAAGUUACGGGGAGAUGCAAAUAAUCUUUGAUCCGUAAAUUUCUGAAUGGGGAAACCUAUAUAGUUGAAGACUAUAUGCGAAAGCGCUAACCCGGAGAACUGAAACAUCUAAGUACCCGGAGGACAAGAAAAUAAUAAUGAUUCCCGAAGUAGUGGCGAGCGAAAUGGGAAGAGCCCAAACCAGGGUUGUUUAGGCAACACUGGGGUUGUAGGACUGCAACGUGGACUUAAAAUACAUAGUAGAACCAUCUGGAAAGUUGGGCCAUAGAGGGUGAUAGCCCCGUAAACGAAAUGGAUUUUAUACCUAGCAGUAUCCUGAGUACCGCGAGACUGGAGAAAUCUUGUGGGAAUCUGCCGGCACCAUCCGGUAAGGCUAAAUACUCCUGAGAGACCGAUAGUGCACUAGUACUGUGAAGGAAAGGUGAAAAGAACCUCGAACAGAGGAGUGAAAUAGAACCUGAAACCGUGUGCUUACAACCGGUAGGAGCCCCUUCGUGGGGUGACUGCGUGCCUUUUGCAUAAUGAGCCUACGAGUUACUCUUCACUGGCAAGGUUAAGUCUUUAAGGGACGCAGCCGAAGCGAAAGCGAGUCUGAAUAGGGCGUACAGUCAGUGGAGGUAGACGCGAAACCUUGUGAUCUACCCAUGGUCAGGAUGAAGGACAGGUAACACUGUCUGGAGGUCCGAACUGAUAAGCGUUGAAAAGCUUCCGGAUGAACUGUGGGUAGGGGUGAAAGGCUAAUCAAACUGGGAAAUAGCUCGUACUCCCCGAAAUGCAUUUAGGUGCAGCGUUGAGGUAGAGUAUCAUAGAGGUAGAGCUACUGAUUGGGCUAGGGGCUUCACCGCCUACCAAACCCUGACAAACUCCGAAUACUAUGAUAUAUACUCAGCAGUGAGGCUGUGGGUGCUAAGGUCCAUGGCCGAGAGGGAAAGAACCCAGACCAUCAGCUAAGGUCCCCAAAUCUAUACUAAGUUGGUCUAACGUUGUUUGAUUGCAUUGACAGCUAGGAUGUUGGCUUGGAAGCAGCCAUUCAUUUAAAGAGUGCGUAACAGCUCACUAGUCGAGCGAUCGAGCGUGGAUGAUAAACGGGCAUAAGUAUAGUACCGAAGCUAUGGAAUUCAGCAAUGAAUUGGUAGGGGAGCAUUCCGGCAGCGCUGAAGGUGUGGCGCGAGCCAUGCUGGAGCAGCCGGAAAAGCAAAUGUAGGCAUGAGUAACGAUAAUGCGGGCGAGAAACCCGCACGCCGUAAAACCAAGGUUUCCUGAACAACGUUAAUCGGUUCAGGGUUAGUCGGGACCUAACGAAAACCCGAAAGGGGUAUUGGAUGGACAGUAGGUUAAUAUUCCUACACCGGCAUACAAUUCGAUGAAGUGACGGAUUGACGUAGUUGCUGCGUGCUGACGGAAUAGCACGCUGAGCCGAGCCCUCGGGCAAAGCGAAGUAAUGAAAUUGGUUCCUAGAAAAGCUUAUAAGAUUAGUUGUAUGCUGCUCGUACCGUAAUCCGACACAGGUGGUUGAGGAGAGAAUCCUAAGGCGCUCGAGUGAGUCACGGCUAAGGAACUCGGCAAAUUGGUCCUGUAACUUCGGGAUAAAGGACGCCCCCCUCCGGGGGCCGCAGUGAAAAGGCCCAGGCGACUGUUUAACAAAAACACAUGGCUUUGCUAAAUCGAAAGAUGACGUAUAAGGCCUGACACCUGCCCGGUGCUGGAAGGUUAAGAGGAGAUGUCAUUCGCAAGAAGAAGCAUUGAAUCGAAGCCCCAGUAAACGGCGGCCGUAACUAUAACGGUCCUAAGGUAGCGAAAUUCCUUGUCGGGUAAGUUCCGACCUGCACGAAUGGUGUAACGAUCUGGGCGCUGUCUCAGCCGUGAGCUCGGUGAAAUUGUAGUCCCGGUGAAGAUGCCGGGUACCCGCUACGGGACGGAAAGACCCCGUGCACCUUUACUAUAGCUUAACAUUGCGUUUGGAUAAUUGAUGUGUAGGAUAGCUGGGAGACUUUGAAGCUUGGGCGCUAGCUCAGGUGGAGUCAACGUUGAAAUACCAGCCUUCAAUUAUUCGGACUCUAACUCCUCGCGGAGGACAGUGUUUGGUGGGUAGUUUGACUGGGGUGGUCGCCUCCAAAAAAGUAUCGGAGGCUUUCAAAGGUACACUCAACACGCUUGGUAACCGUGUGUAGAGCGCAAUAGCAUAAGUGUGCUUGACUGUGAGGCCUACAAGCCGAACAGGGUCGAAAGACGGAUAUAGUGAUCCGGUAGUUCCGCAUGGAAGGGCUAUCGCUCAAAGGAUAAAAGGUACGCCGGGGAUAACAGGCUGAUCUCCCCAAGAGCUCACAUCGACGGGGGGUUUGGCACCUCGAUGUCGGCUCGUCACAUCCUGGGGCUGGAGAAGGUUCCAAGGGUUCGGCUGUUCGCCGAUUAAAGUGGCACGCGAGCUGGGUUCAGAACGUCGUGAGACAGUUCGGUCCCUAUCUGUAGUGGGCGUUGGAAAUUUGAGAGGGCCUGACUCUAGUACGAGAGGACCGAGUCGGACGAACCUCUAGUGUACCAAUUAUGCCGCCAGGUGUACCGUUGGGUAGCUACGUUCGGUUGAGAUAAGCGCUGAAAGCAUAUAAGCGCGAAACUCGCCUCAAGAUGAGAUUUCCUUUAAGGGUCGUAGUAGACUACUACGUUGAUAGGCUAUAGGUGUAAAGUUGGUAACAGCAAAGCCGAGUAGUACUAAUUACCCGUAGCUUUUUACGC
rnacentral:rRNA from 1 species